GACGAACGCUGGCGGCGUGCCUAAUACAUGCAAGUCGAACGCAGUGGGGACGGGUGAGUAACACGUGGGUAACCUCCCAUCAGAGGGGAUAACACUUGGAAACAGGUGCUAAACCGAUACUGAUGGAUGGACCCGCGGUGCAGUAGCUAGUUGGGGAGGUAACGGCUCCCCAAGGCCACGAUGCAUAGCCGACCUGGGAGGGGGGUGGGCCACACUUGGACUGAGACACGGCCCAGACUCCUACGGGAGGCAGCAGGAGGGAAUCUUCGGGAAUGGACGGAAGGCUGACCGAGCAACGGCGCGUGAGUGAAGAAGGUUUUCGGGUCGUAAAGCUCUGUUGGUAAGGAAGCGGUACUUAACCAGAAAGGGACGGCUAACUACGUGCCAGCAGCCGCGGUAAUUC
rnacentral:rRNA from 1 species